rnacentral:tRNA from 1 species
CAUACUCGCCAAAUGGUAAGGCACUUGAUUUGUAGAUCAAGCACAUACAGGUUCAACUCCUGUGUAUG